CUAGGGCCGCUCCCUCGGCAUAUGGAGGUUCCCAGGCUAGGGGUUCAAUUGGAGCUGUAGCCACCGGCCUAUGCCAGAGCCACAGCAACGCAGGAUCCGAGCCACAUCUGCGACCUACCCCACAGCUCACGGCAACACCAGAUCCUUAUCCCACUGAGCAAGGCCAGGGAUCAAACCCUCAACCUCAUGUUACCUAGUCGGACUCGCUAACCACUGAGCCACAACGGGAACGCCCAAAUAUUUCUUUCUUAUUCAGGACUCAGAUCAAAUGUCCCCUCCUCAGACAGGCCUUCCCUGUCCAGCCAAUCUAAAUAAGCUCCCCACCCAUCACCCAUCACCCACGGCCACAUCACCUGUUUUGUUUUCUUAAGUGCUCUUAUCAUUGUCUGAAACAACCUGGCCCAGUUACUGGCUUACUUACUGGUUGCUUGUGUUUCCUGCCAGAAUGUAAGUUUCAAGCCAAGAGCACUGCCUGGUGUGAGUGAGCAGAUGUUCAGGAAAUACUUGGGGAUGGAAAAAAAAAGAAUUCCUGAAAGUGGAGGCCGGAGAUUUAUUUGUUCCAAAUCUAAUAGGUACUUUAAAGUUCUGGUAUGAGUCUUCUCCAACAUUUGACAUCAGGAUGAUCUGCUCUGUCUCUAAGUCAUCACUUCCCUGGGCUUCUGUAACCUGCCAUUGAGAUUCUAGUCUUGGGCACUUUUCUUUCCAGUUUCUCUUAAAAGCUCCUCCUCCUCCGCCCAUCCCCGACUUUCUGCUUUUCAGAGAGUUCCAUCCUAGUGCUUCUUCUUCCCCAAUUCCACAUCAUCGAGCAAGGUCACCUCAGCCACUGCUGAAACCGUGUGCAAGCCCCUAAAUCGUUGUGUUCUUUCCUUUAGCCUCUCUGGCCUCCUCUCCGUCUCAAAAGGCUGACUCAAGAGUUAACGAUUAGGGAGUUCCUGCUGUGGCUCAGCAGUAACGAACCCAACUAGUUUCCAUGAGGACAUGGGUUUGAUCCCUGGCCAUGCUCAGCGGGUGAAGCAUCCAGUGUUGCUAUGAGCUGUGGUGUAGAUCACAGAUAGAGCUCGGAUCUGGCAUUGCUGUGGGCAUGGUACAGGCUGGCAGCUGCAGCUCCAAUGUGACUCCAUGGCCUGGGAACUUCCAUAUUGCCACAGGUGCAGCCUUAAAAGAAAAAAAUAAGUAAAUAAAAAACAAACCAUAAUGGAAAAGAAUAUUUUUUUAAAAGAGUUAAUGAUUAGGAACUAUUGUUACAGCUAAAAGUUAGCCAAAACAGUCUCCAUGAUGUUAAGCCCUGCCUUGGUCCACUAACUUACUACUAAUGAUGACUUUCUAGUUAGAGUUAUAUUGUGCCUAGUGUCCAGCUUUUUACAAAUGACCUCUUCCUGACUUAAUCGCUUUCUUUUACGAAUGAUGGCUUUCUAGUUAGAGUUCUACUGCACCUAGUGGUUUCCUUUGUAAUUGAAACACUUCCUAACACCGCUUCCCCACAAGCCAUCUUCUUUCCAGAGAAAAGGUCAAGGAAGGAUAACCUUGACCAAAGACAACCGGAAACCGUCACCAGAUGGACUGACACCAGAACUGACAACUGGAAUGAUCUAUGGGUCAAGAAUAAUAUGACUCCUUAAUCUAUAACCCCGUCUUCUGAGCUAAACCUAUAAAACCCCUUGCUAUCCCCUCUCAGGACAGGACACAGUGUUGAGGUGUUAGCCUGCUGUGUCCUCCUUUGCCUGGCAAAGCAAUAAAGCUGUUCUUUCUGCUUCACCCCAAACUCUGUCUCUGAGACUUAGCUGGUGCCGGUGUACAGAGGCCGUGUUUCGGCUACACUCCUACGUGUCAUCAUUCACCAUCUAUUUUCUCAUGACUCCCAAAUCUAUACCUCUCUCCCAGGUGCAAGCAGCCCCUGGGAUGUCCCCUCCAGUUCAACAGUGCCAGCCGAAACUGGUCACUUCCACCAGUCCCAAGCCACAUCCUCAGCAACCCCGCUGGCCCUGCUCCCCAACAACACACACUCCUCCCUCUUCUGCAUGAAGCUCUCAGUCCCCCCGCCCCUUGCCCUGAGUCUAGGAUCCAAAUUCCUCCCCAUGCCUUCCAAGACCAUUCAUGACGUGUCCCUUUGGCCACACCAACCAUCUGCACUACGCUCCCCCCUCACCUGUAGGAGCACAGACGCGCUUCUUCCUGGGUCGUGACCACACGUGCCUCCCCGUCUCUGCACCAGGGUUCAGACAACACUUGUCAAAUCAACACAUGGAUGGAAGAAUUUGGUGUUUCCUUUACCCUCGCUCUUGAGUCACUAUUUCUUUGAUCUGAGUCUAUAAGGCUUUGAACCUUCUUUUUUUUAUUUUUGUCUUUUUAGGGCCACACUCAAGGCAUGGAGCUUCCCAGGCUAGGGGUCAAAUCAGAGCUGUAGUCACUGGCCUAUGUCUCAGUCACAGCCACAUGUCUCAGUCACAGCCACGCCAGAUCCAAACCGCGUAUGCGACCUAAACCACAGCUCACAGCAACACUGGAUCCUUAACCCACUGAGCCAGACCAGGGAUCAAACUUGCGUCCUCAUGGUUACUAGUCAGAUUCGUUUCCUCUGAGCCAUGAUGGGAACUCCUGAACCUUCUUUUAAGAGCCCUAAUCCUCAUUUUUCUAUUCCUCCCUCAAUGCUGCACCACAAACCAACAUCCUAAUGACUUUCGGAGGAUCUGGGUUAAUUAGUGACUAGAGUUUGCCUCUCCCAGCUAAGAAUUUAGCUCAAUAUUUACAUUGUGCUGCCACCGGGUGCAUUUGGUAACAGUGACUAAGCGUCUUGGCAGCUUUCAAACUGUACAAAAGAAAUUCAAGGAUAACAUAAUAGAUCAUCAGGAACAACUGGUGAACAAGCAAUUUAUUAUAAAUAAGAUGCACAUUAAUAAGUUUCAUAUUAAGACAAGCAUCCAAAAGAAACUGCAAAACUGCUGUCUGCUCCAGAGAUGCCCCUGCCUCUGCAAUCGUCACCAGCUCCAUGGUCGCUGUCCUCUCAGCUCCUUGGCAUCAGCUGGACAGACCCCGUGAAUGCACGUGCAGCUGAACCAGCGUAGGAAGAGAGCUGAGAAGCCAACUCCCAGCCUGCCAGCCAGGCUAGCCCCAGGGGCGCUGUCACUUGCCACAUUCCUUGAAGGACCACACUCCUGCUACCUUCCCCUAAAUGUACUAUUGGGGUGGACAGUGACCCUGGGAGCCAGCGAGGGCUGUUGGCUGUUGCCUAUGGGCCAUGCUGUUUCUCCAACUGAACAGACUCAAGAAAGAGCAGCACCAAGUGCCCAUCAUGCAACAACCCCAGGCAGUGUCCCUGCCAGGCUACUUCCACUCAAAGGGACUGAGCGGGAAAUCCAUCCUGCAGAUGAACGGCAGCUGGUGCUCUGGGCCCCCAGCAGGGACCUUCAACACGACCCUGAAUUGCAGGGGUUGUUUGGUUUUGUUUUGUCUUAGGGCCUCACCCAAGGCAUAUGGCAGUUACCAGGCUAGGGGUCCCAUCAGAGCUGCAGCUGCCAACCUAAGCCACAGCCACAGCCACGGCAACUCGGGAUCCGAGCCACAUCUGCAACCUACACCACAGCUCACAGCAACACUGGAUCCUUAACCCACUGAGCAAGGCCAGGGAUCGAAUCCAUAUCCUCAUGGAUUCAUUACCACUAGUUGGAUUCAUUACCAUUGAGCUACAACAGGAACCUCCCCCACUUUUUUUUCUGAAUUGCAAUUUUGAGAAUGCACCCCAACCUCACUUCCCUCUUCUGGCUGAGUGACAGGGGCCUCUAUCAGUGGCGGGAGCCUAUUGUGGCCAGUUCCCCAAGGCACUGCCUUGAGAGGCCCCUCUGAGUCUGAUAAUGACCGCAGAACAACAGAUUCCCAAGGCUUGGGAAGGAGCAUCCUGACACUUAUUAACAACACAAUGAAUUAAAGUUGUAAUGAGGCGGAAAAAGCAAACCGGCCCUAAGGCUCAGCCUUAUACUCAGAGCUCUGAGGGAACUUACACAGGAAGAUCCCUGCUCUGGAGGCAGCUGGGACCUAGUUAAGGAAGAAAGACUUUUGCAUGUAAAAGUGACACCUUAUGUUGGAGCUCUUGGCCCUCCUGCACCCCCAGGCAUGCUCAGCUGCUGGGAGGGUCAGCACAGACAGCGUGGACAGACCAUCUGGGGCCAGAGCGGGCAGUGCUUAGAGUCUGCUAUGGGGUAGGGGCCCAUGACAAUGCUUUCAUUUCUUUUCAGAUCAGAAGAAAAAAGUGAUUAUAGUCCAAUCUGAGUUGCAUUCACCUUUAUUUAUUCAGUUAAUUAGCUUUUUUAGGGCCGCACCAGCAGCAUAUGGAAAUUCCCAGUUCAGGGGUCGAAUCGGAACUGCAGCUUCCAGCCUACACCACAGCCACAGUAAUUCAGGAUCUGAAGCCGAAGAUCUGAAGUAAUGCCACGCCGAAGCCUU
rnacentral:lncRNA from 1 species